GAAUAAAACAAAGUGGCCUGCCCUCACGAUUGGGGGAAUAGGAAAGAAAACACUCUAAGGACAGACCACAUCAAACGAUUUUAAAGGCAUCUAGUGCUGCUCUGGGUCCUUAUCAAGUCCUCAGGGGUCACAAAGCAGAAGAGAGUAAGGGACUGAAUACCCAAACGAUGGCCAGAUCAUAUAUAAAAACAGAACUGUGGCUCACAACCUGCAGCCACUUACCCAGGGAACCAACCCCUUCUCUGCAACAGGCAACCCGGUAAGCCACCUGCUGAGUGCAAGCGGACCAGAAGACACCACCCCCCACCCCCCGAAUAUGCCGCUUUGGCACAAAGACUCUUUUGAGUGGCUGACAAUUCGGACCUCAGGCACAGAGAGCCCCCCGCCCUCCCCCAACCUGCCUAGAAGCAGAGCAUCAAAUCCCCUUGUUGAGGGGCUUCCUCGCCUCUCCUGCACUAGGAAGAAAACAACUCUUGGUCACGGGAGACCGCAUGGCUGGAGUCUGCCUAAAGCAACCUCGCUGAAAUAAUCCUGGUCUUUCAUUGGGUGACCCCAUGUGUUUACCUUCCCACAGUUCACCGCCCCAAAGCCCACACCCCGUUUCCUCCAUGCACACACUUUGCCGUAGUGCAUGUGCUUUACUAAAACAGUGUGUAAGCUUCUAGUCUAACCCACGGUGCAUCUUCGCCUCUUCUGGGAACCCUUUGUACUCAUGUGAAAUAAACAUUUUCUCCUGUUAA